GUCAUGGGAAAUGAGAUUGCUAAGAGCUUUCCUUACACUAGAUGUCAAGUUGUCCUUUGCAGGAGCCUCUGCUGGGAUACAAGGGAAGCCCUUCAGCAUCCCCUUCAUCCAAAGCCAGAGAUCUCUCCCUGAUUGAUUGAACAUCCUUCAGUUCUUUCCCUGUGUAGAUCUGAAUCUUUAUCUCCUACUGAAAUUUUAUGUACACAAGGUCAGAAGAGGCUCCUUAAAUCUGAGAGCAAUGUAGCACCAUAAAUUCCAGUUCCUUGUAUCUGCUAAAACCAUCUCAAAAAUCUAGUAAAUAGAAGAGUAAGCCUCAGCCUGUCCUGGUAUUUCCUGUUACCAGAAGCCAGACCUCUGGGGACUCAUCCAAG